rnacentral:rRNA from 1 species
UCCAGCGGCGGACGGGUGAGGAAUACAUAGGAAUUUGCCUUUAGGUGGGGGAUAGCUUGGGGAAACUCAAGGUAAUACCGCAUGAUGUCGCAAGACCAAAGUGGGGGAUCGCAAGACCUCGCGCCUUUAGAGAAGCCUAUGUCUGAUUAGCUAGUUGGUAGUGUAAUGGACUACCAAGGCUACGAUCAGUAACUGGUCUGAGAGGACGAUCAGUCACACCGGAACUGAGACACGGUCCGGACUCCUACGGGAGGCAGCAGUGGGGAAUAUUGGACAAUGGGCGAAAGCCUGAUCCAGCAAUUCCGCGUGUGUGAAGAAGGCCUUCGGGUUGUAAAGCACUUUAGGUUGGGAAGAAAAAAGUUCUUCUAAUACGAGAACUCUUGACGGUACCAAAAGAAUAAGCACCGGCUAACUCUGUGCCAGCAGCCGCGGUAAUACAGAGGGUGCAAGCGUUAAUCGGAUUUACUGGGCGUAAAGCGUGCGUAGGUGG